CAAUAGCGUAUAUUAAAGUUGUUGCAGUUAAAAAGCUCGUAGUUGGAUCUCGGGUCCAGGCUUGUGGUGCAGCUUAGGCUGCUUACUGCUCGUCCUGACCUACCUACCGGUUUUCCCUUGGUGCCCUUAAUUGAGUGCCAGGAGAGGCCGGAACGUUUACUUUGAAAAAAUUGGAGUGUUCAAAGCAGGCCUCGCGCCUGAACAGCAGAGCAUGGAAUAAUGGAAUAGGACCUCGGUUCUAUUGCGUUGGUUUUCGGAACUCGAGGUAAUGAUUAAGAGGGACUGACGGGGGCAUUCGUAUUGCGGUGUGAGAGGUGAAAUUCUUGGAUCGCCGCAAGACGACCGACUGCGAAAGCAUUUGCCAAGAAUGUUUUCAUUAAUCAAGAACGAAAGUUAGAGGUUCGAAGACGAUUAGAUACCAU
rnacentral:rRNA from 1 species